GCUGGAUCUUCAUCUGGUUCUCAUGUGCGGGGCGAAGUCCACGUGGAGUGGCUUCGUGGUGUGGCAAGUCAUCUCUAUUGUCUUGCUUCUUGUCUGGCGGUGUUAGGUGUAGUCCUCUAGUCUUUAGUUACUACCUGAAUCUGUACUGUGUCAUGCAAGUGCACCCCUCAUAGGGCGGGUGUGCUGUGUCGACAUUCCAUCUGUGUGUCAACUCUCAUAUGUCG